GGUGCUUCCAGGUCAAAUGCUGGGCUGGGCUGAUCAGAUCGCUCCUAGCCAAUAGGAGUGAUCGGAUCAUUAUGGCAGCCCAUGGAUGACCCUGCUCUACAAAGAGAGAGGGGUCAUCUAGGUUAAUUAUGAAAAAACACAAAUUAUUAAUAAAUAAAAAAAUCAUAAUUAUUACCUGAUCACUUGUCGGUGACAUUUUAAGUCGCUGAUUAUUGAUCGGUCUCCCUGAUUGAUGUCAGCGGCCUAAACCUGUCACUUACAAGUAAUCUGAUAAAAAAAAUAUUUUAAAAAAUGUAAAUGCACAUGUUCCAGUUUUGCCCUCAUAGCUUCCUCAAAAAAUGCAUGAACCAUGCAUGUGAGGCCUUGUUGGAACCGGGGGAUGUUGGUGAACACAAUUUGGUGUUUUGUUCUGCAGUUGCACAUAUUCUAUACAAAAUAUAAUAUAAAAUCUAAAGCAACAUUGCAACAUAUGCAAAAAAAAAACAAAAAAAUAUAAAAAUACCUCAAAAUUUGGCAGCAAUUGGCGAUAAAAUCCCUGUUUGAAAAGUGUCAAAAUGACCCUAGUUGUACACCUUGACUUAUCUACUGUUCAUAAACAUAUAAUUUUGGGGGGAUAAUCAGUAUCUGUGACAACUAUUGCAGUUAUUAGACUACCAUGCCAAAUUUGAAAAAAAUUAAAUUUCAAAAACGUGAUGCAUGCCUUGCAAUAUUUGCCCUAUACUGGUCAAAAUAGAUAAAAAUCCUGGCCAUGUUGGGUGGUUUCCAAAUCAGGACAACUUAAUGAAUAUAUUUGGGAUAAUUUUUUCCCAUUGGUUCAAUGUGUGUACAAUUUGUAUGUAUACAAAACUCUUAAUAUGGUUUCAAAUGAAAGCUCUACUUGUGCUGAAAAAAACAA